rnacentral:rRNA from 1 species
GGACGAACGCUGGCGGCGUGCUUAACACAUGCAAGUCGAACGGAAAGGCCCUGCUUUUGUGGGGUGCUCGAGUGGCGAACGGGUGAGUAACACGUGAGUAACCUGCCCUUGACUUUGGGAUAACUUCAGGAAACUGGGGCUAAUACCGGAUAGGAGCUCCUGCUGCAUGGUGGGGGUUGGAAAGUUUCGGCGGUUGGGGAUGGACUCGCGGCUUAUCAGCUUGUUGGUGGGGUAGUGGCUUACCAAGGCUUUGACGGGUAGCCGGCCUGAGAGGGUGACCGGCCACAUUGGGACUGAGAUACGGCCCAGACUCCUACGGGAGGCAGCAGUGGGGAAUAUUGCACAAUGGGCGGAAGCCUGAUGCAGCAACGCCGCGUGCGGGAUGACGGCCUUUGGGUUGUAAACCGCUUUCGCCUGUGACGAAGCGUGAGUGACGGUAAUGGGUAAAGAAGCACCGGCUAACUACGUG